AUGCUCUUUGUUGCCUGCUGCCAUGUAGCGUCUGCCUGUUUUGCCAUGGUUGUAAGUUUCCUGAAGCCUCCUGAGCCCUGCAGAACUGGGUGCACCUGUGGCUCCUCCUCUCCAGAGCUGCCUCAUCACAUUUCUCUCUCUGCUUCCUGGCUGCUGCAACUGCCAGGGACCUACAGUCAGUAUCACCACCGCACAGAGCCUCAAGGCCACGGCUGCUCUCCACAUGGAAUCUGCCCAAUAAGCCUACAGGAAGAAGAUGAAGAAGAUGAAGAUGAUGAAGAUGAAGAAGGAGGAGGAGGAGGAGGAGAAGAAGAAGAAAGCAAUGCUCAGCUGAAAGUAGGCAGUUAUGAUUAUAUUAUUUGACCCCCAGAGCCAGUCGUAUCUGAAGUAAACCCUACCUAUUAGUCUAUUGUGCUUACACUAGCUCAAAUGGCCUUUUUACUACCCUCAAAUCUCAACUAAUGAAGGUGCCAACACAUCAUCUCAUACUGUGGUUGUGAAAAAAAAAACAAAAAACAAAAAACAAAACAAAAAAACCACACUGACUCUUCCUAGAAGUUGAAUGCUUAUUUCUUGCUAGUCCCAGCUAGGUUGCAUGGUAAUGGUGAAAAUCUGUUUUCACUUCUAAGCUCUACUUUGUUCUGUUGGCUUUAUUAUUGGGACACUAAGAGACUCAAGACUGACAUUUUCCAGCAUCAGUGCCCCAGCAGAAAGCAUUUUUCCUUAAAGCACUGGUAUAAAGAUUCCAAGUUUGGCUUGGCUCCAAUCAGAGACCAAUCCCUGAAACAAUCAUGGUAUGUAGGUUUCUUAGUCCACUUAUGCCUCUCUAACAAAAUACCACAGACUGGGUAAUUUAUAACAAUGCAAAUGUAUUCUUACAGUUAUUCCGGAGGCUGACAAGUCCAAGAUCAAGGCACCAGCAGGUUUGGUGACCAGUGAAGACUGCUUUAUCAGUGGUGGCAUCCUCUCAUGGUGGCAUCCUCAUAUUGCAGACGGACAAAAAGGGGCCUAAGCUAAUUCCCUUAAGCCCUUCUAUAAGGCACUAAUUCAUAUAUGAGGGGGAACCCUUGUGGUCUGAUCACCUGCUAAAGGCACCACUGCAUAAUAACACCACAGUGGGGAUUGUUUCACCAUGAAUUUGGAAGGGAAACAUUCAAACCAUAGCAAUAGGACAAAGGAAGCCUCUGAUGGGCCAGGCCUGAUCUCAUGUUCAUCCUUGGAGUGAUGAGGUCAGCACCAUCAGAACAAAGAUUUAUGAAGAAAAAAAGGAUUAUGAGAAAGUCUGCCUAUUGUUCACUAUAGGGCUACUCCUUGCCUUAAUCAUGGGCAUUGGGCAAGGCUUUUGGGAAAUUCACAAAGUCUUCUUUCUUCUGGGGAAGAGAGGUUAUACAUCAGAGAAUCCACACUGGGGAGAAGACCCAUGAGGGUAAUGAGUGUGGAGGAGUUUUUGCUGUUAAAUCCACGUAAUGUCGGCAUCAGAGAAUCCACAGUGGAGAGAAACCUUGAGUGUAGCAAGUAUGGGAAAAUCUUUAGGACUUUCUUCCUGUGUCUUCCCACCUCUAGGAGCCUUGAUGCCUACCCUACAAAUCACUCUGUCUUGGUAUGAAUACCACAACUGGGCCUGCCAAUUAUUUUCUGUUUUAUACUUGUUUCUGCAGAAAUCAGAGCCUGAGGCCAAGGCUUAUGUCUUACUUUAUUAGAGUGCAAUCUCUGGGAAUAGGAGGGAAGCAAAAAGGGGAAUGAGUCAAGAAAGGAGAAAAAGCCAAUACAAAGGUACAUUAUUAAGCCAGUCACCACUUGAUGUCAAGAGCAACUAAUGGCUCAGUCUUACAGGAUCAUCUUCUAAGAGGUUGUGUAAAUGACCAGUUUGCAAGGAAGGUCUGUAUGAAGAGAGGAAGGGAGAAGAAUUUUUCUACUGGGCUCCUGGUCUCCCACUGGUCAAAAGUUAACCCUAUGGGUAUUAAUUCCUCUGAAAUUCUUGGAUGAGCAUAUAUGGACUCUGCAGUGUGUUCUACCUUAGUAUCAGCGGGGAACCCUGGGCAAGAGGCAGAAAGUACUCAGUGUGAGGUGAGGCAUUAUACUUGGCAUUUGGCUCCUAUGCUACAACAUGGCAUCUUCUGUGGGAGAAAGAGGUACAAAUCCAAUCAGAACACUUAAGGCAAUUGCCACAGCAAACUCUUAAAAGACAAGACAAGAGGGUUAACGAAAUAGUUUACAGUUGCCACUGUUCCAGCUGGUCCCUAGGUUCUACUUGAUAUUCAUCAUCUCCCUCCUCUAUCAUCUCUUCUAGAUUUCCCCAAUGUACGACCAACAUUUCAGUUGACCUGGAAUGCUUGCCCAGUACAAUGACUUAAACUUUUGUCCCCAAGGGUUCUAAAUAUCUUGUUUAUAUCAGGUUGUUCUUGCUUCAGUUAUCUGUUUACUACUAUUACUGAGGAGAGAAACACCAAUGGAUGUUCUAGGGAACCUUUAUUUCUAGACUUUCUCCUCCCUUCGUCCAUUGUGUAUCAGCAACUCUAGUUCCUCAUGACAGUCAGGAUGGAUCACCAUCGCCAAUAGAGUGACUCUUUUGUUCUGUAGCAUGAAGGAGACAAGUGAUAUUUGGUGUUACAACAUGGAGUUCACUAGAACACUUAAGUGCUUUCACUCUUGUGCAUCAACAGGGAAACCUUGGGGCAGGAGGUAGGUGGAGGUGUGAUAUAGGUGUAUGGUGAGAUACUAUUGGAUUGUGCUCAUAGGAAGUUGGUCAGACUUCCCACAAAGUUGGUAGCCACUGAUGGUAAAAGCCCUGGGGAUAAGUGACUAUAAGAGAAUCUGACUUGGCAUAUAAGAAAUGUCUGAUUCAUCUUCCUUCCUUAUGGAAACCUUGCUUGCAGAGUGAUGGUAUGCUUACCAAUAUUCUGAUAUACUUCCAUGAAGUAGACAGGUAAGCUAUUAAGUAUGUAAAAUGUAUCCCUAGGUAAGGAAGUUGAGGACACAAAGUUGAAUUAUACAUGGUAGGUUUUUCUCUUAAGGAGUUUGAAUUCAGACAUAUCCUCACUUGACAGAUAGGAAAAUGAAAUGAAAAACAGAUUGUAAUUUUUUCCAAGCCAUUCAACUAAAACAUGGCAAAGCUGGACCUAUCAACAAAAAUUUCUGGAUUCUGUUCCAAACAAACUCUGUUUGUACUAAUUAUUGAAGGAUUAAAACAGCAAAUGACUGGCAUGCCUAGUCAUGAGUCACCACAGAGUUUCAAAUUUAAACAAUGUCAUUUAUCGGUAGUGAUUCGUAAAUUCUUCUGUGAUAAUACUAUAUAACUGAUGAUACACUUGGGAUGGGGCUUUGUUACAUUUGCAGCAUGUAAAAGGAAUGACAAAUUUCUUGUCAAAGAAUUUUUUUCCCUCUAAUUAAAAAGCAAAAUGACUAAUAGUGAUAUCUUUAGAAAAUAGUUAUACCAAAACAUGCAAAUAAAUAACAUAGUAGGUAAUCUUUUUACCUUAAUAUGUUAUGACUACCUUUGUACAUCAUUUAAUAUUCUUCUACUACAUCUUCAUUUCAAUAAAGAUGUAGCAUUUCAUUAUGUGGUUAUAAUAUAAUGUAUUUUACCAGUUAUUUUUGGGCACUGAUUUUCCCAGUUUUUCAGUGUUAAAAAUGGUGCUUUAUGAAAUAGUCAUAGAACUCUAUCUUUGUGAAAUCCAUGAUUACUUGUUUAUAAUACC
ensembl:lncRNA